rnacentral:tRNA from 1 species
GUUUUUAUAGUUUAAAAUUUAAAACAUUGGUCUUGUAAACCAAAAAUAAGAUUAUUCUUUAAAAUCU